GAUGAACGCUAGCGACAGGCUUAACACAUGCAAGUCGAGGGGCGGCGGGGUGUGGCAACACACUGCCGGCGACCGGCGCACGGGUGAGUAACGCGUAUGCAACUUGCCUAUCAGAGGGGGAUAACCCGGCGAAAGUCGGACUAAUACCGCAUAAAACAGGGGUCCCGCAUGGGGAUAUUUGUUAAAGAUUCAUCGCUGAUAGAUAGGCAUGCGUUCCAUUAGGCAGUUGGCGGGGUAACGGCCCACCAAACCGACGAUGGAUAGGGGUUCUGAGAGGAAGGUCCCCCACAUUGGUACUGAGACACGGACCAAACUCCUACGGGAGGCAGCAGUGAGGAAUAUUGGUCAAUGGCCGGGAGGCUGAACCAGCCAAGUCGCGUGAAGGAUGAAGGUCCUAUGGAUUGUAAACUUCUUUUGUGCGGGAAUAAAGUCGGGGAUGCGUCCCCGUUUGCAUGUACCGUACGAAUAAGCAUCGGCUAACUCCGUGCCAGCAGCCGCCGUAA
rnacentral:rRNA from 1 species